UUCCGGUUGAUCCUGCCGGACCUGACUGCUAUCGGAUUGAUACUAAGCCAUGCGAGUCAUUGUAGCAAUACAAGGCAGACGGCUCAGUAACGCGUAGUCAAUCUACCCUAUGGACGGGAAUAACCUCGGGAAACUGAGAAUAAUGCCCGACAGAACAUUAUACCUGGAACGGUUUAUGUUUCAAAUGAUUUAUCGCCGUAGGAUGGGACUGCGGCCUAUCAGUUUGUUGGUGAGGUAAUAGCCCACCAAGACUAUUACAGGUACGGGCUCUGAGAGGAGUAGCCCGGAGAUGGGUACUGAGACACGGACCCAGGCCCUAUGGGGCGCAGCAGGCGAGAAAACUUUGCAAUGUGCGAAAGCACGACAAGGUUAAUCCGAGUGGUUUCUGCUAAAGAAACCUUUUGCUAGUCCUAGAAACACUAGUGAAUAAGGGGUGGGCAAGUUCUGGUGUCAGCCGCCGCGGUAAAACCAGCACCUCAAGUGGUCAGGAUGAUUAUUGGGCCUAAAGCAUCCGUAGCUCGUUUUGUAAGUUUUCGGUUAAAUCCAUACGCUUAACGUAUGGGCUGCCGGGAAUACUGCAUAACUAGGAAGUGGGAGAGGUAGACGGUACUCGGUAGGAAGGGGUAAAAUCCUUUGAUCUAUUGAUGACCACCUGUGGCGAAGGCGGUCUACCAGAACACGUUCGACGGUGAGGGAUGAAAGCUGGGGGAGCAAACCGGAUUAGAUACCCGGGUAGUCCCAGCUGUAAACUAUGCAAACUCAGUGAUGCAUUGGCUUGUGGCCAAUGCAGUGCUGCAGGGAAGCCGUUAAGUUUGCCGCCUGGGAAGUACGUACGCAAGUAUGAAACUUAAAGGAAUUGGCGGGGGAGCACCACAA
rnacentral:rRNA from 2 species